GUCCAGAGCAGUCUAUCUUCAUGGUCUGAAUCAUAUUCCUCCUUUUCUUCCCCAUCACUAAGCAUCAGCAACAGGCCUUCUCAGGUCUUCAUAGCUGCCUGGGGAGGAGGGCUUUUAGGAUGGGGCAGAAGGGCAAGAUAACAGCCCCCUGCAUCCAUUUAAAAAGGGACAUAUGUAUGCAUAGACACACUUAUGCAUACACAUGUCUCUAACAGGAAUCCAGUCAUUCUGAGUAGAGCACUUUGACCACUCUGUUCUUUCUGUUCUACCAAAGAGAGGUGAAAUAAUGCUGGUCAUAACUUGUACUGACAAAGUGAAACUAGUAAUAAAGAAAGGAACUGUCCAAAGCUGUUAAAAGUUUGGAAGAAGCAUGACCAAAAAGAAAGGGGGUGGGGAGGGGAGGAAGUGUGUUGAGGAAGGAAUAAGGCAUGCUUUCACUUUGGCUUCAAAUUUUAGGGAAACUUCUGCUUUCACCAUGUCAAUGACAUUAACAUUUGUGUUUGCAUUGCUAUGCUGGCUGUAGCAAACACAAUUAGCUCAAAUGUGCUGAAUCAAGACCUUUGGAUUCUAAAGAAUGAGUCUUGUACCAUCAAAAGUUCAAAAUAGGCCUGUGCCAUCAGGAAGGUUGUGUCCUGAGCUAACUGGAAAAGUUGCCUCCCUCUGAAGAAUGAAAGAUGCUUCUUGAAUCUUGAUGCUGUUUUCUAUAGAAUGUAUUACUCUGAGUUUAACAUGGCACCUCAUCACCACCAUUCUGUUUAACAUAGACAUGAAACCACUGGAGAAGUUAUUUGGAAUUCUGUAGUUUGGUGCCAUCAAUAUGCUGAUCACACCUAACCUUGUCUCUCCUUUCCAUCAAAAUUUACUGUUUAGAAUCAUUUUCAUGGACCUGUUAUGGUUACACAAAGAAUGGUAUUCAAAACACCAAGUAUAAUAAUGAUGACAAUAUGCAUACACACAUUUUAAGGCAAGAUUCUUCCCCUUCACCCUGAGGACUGGAGAAGAUAUUCCAGGCCCUGAAAUUCGCUUUGUAUAGUAAGAUCUGGAAACCCCAUCCCCACCCAGAUUGUACUGGACUUUUAAACUAUACAGCAGUAGAAUAAACUCAUGGAGAACUGUUUCCUGAACUCUGCAAUCACAUUGGAAAGGUAUCUGAAAGAUCAUCCAGCAUGAAGGAUCUGCCAAUCUGAACCAUCAGUCAGCCAAUGACUCUCAUUCCAGAAUGUAUUGGCUCACUUUCCUUGCUUUACUCUGUUGCAGCAUCUCCAUCCAUGCAGGGCCAACAUACUCAUAUUCUGGCAAUUUCGGUGGGUUAGGAGGAAUACCCUUUUCUCACUCUGCAGACCAAAGAAACGGACCUAUAACUGCCAUUAAGGUUUGGACAAAUGCAAUUUACAUGGCAGGUUUCCAGGUUCGUUAUGGUACUCAGUGGAGCAAACCUGUGGGAGUCCAGCAAGGUCGGGUGGAUCAGGCCUUCCUAAACCCAGGAGAGUCUAUCAUUUAUGUCAGUGGGACAUAUGGCCUUUUGAUCAACAGACUCACAUUUGUCACAGACCAAAGCCGUGUCUUCAGCUUUGGACCAAAUCAUGGCCUGUCCUUUGAAGCAUAUCCUCGCUAUGGAGGAGCUGCCCUGAGUUAUUUCAGUGGCCGUGCUGCCCUUGCCCUUGACAGCAUUGGCUUGCACUGGGAUGACAAGCCCAGACCCCAAAAUCCACCUGUGCAGAGACAGGACCAGACUUGCCAUGGGAGCUCAUCUAGGCAAGGACAAACUGGCUCUUCAUCCCAGAGCUCUUCAUCUUCAUCUAGGAUCUCUUCAUCUUCAUCCAGGAGCUCUUCAUCCAAUAAUAACUCUGGCUAGAUAGUUAUUUCAGCCACCUCAGUAACAACCAUUCAUCCAGUUCCUGAUGCUUCUACCAAGUGAUUUUUUAAACCUCUUAAUCAAUUGAAUCAGCAGCUAACAUCUGUCACCAUCUCUCCCAUUUCUUUUCAGAUGAUGUACGUCAUUGUCAUCAUCAGCAUUUGCACCCUAGGCACUCUGUAUCAAGCAAUAAAAAUAUAUUUG